AAAUGAAGUUGACGGGGCCCGCACAAGCGGUGGAGUAUGUGGUUUAAUUCGAUGCAACGCGAAGAACCUUACCUGGUCUUGACAUCCCGGAGACCCUUAGGAAACUAGGGGUGCUUCCAUCUGGAAGAAUCUGGAGACAGGUGCUGCAUGGCUGUCGUCAGCUCGUGUCGUGAGAUGUUGGGUUAAGUCCCGCAACGAGCGCAACCCUUGCCUUUAGUUGCCAGCAGUUCGGCUGGGCACUCUAAAGGGACUGCCGGUGUUAAACCGGAGGAAGGUGGGGAUGACGUCAAGUCCUCAUGGCCUUUAUGACCAGGGCUACACACGUACUACAAUGGCCGAUACAAAGGGCAGCGACACUGCGAGGUGAAGCCAAUCCCGUAAAAUCGGUCUCAGUCCGGAUUGGAGUCUGCAACUCGACUCCAUGAAGUUGGAAUCGCUAGUAAUCGUGGAUCAGCAUGCCACGGUGAAUACGUUCCCGGGCCUU
rnacentral:rRNA from 1 species